UAUAGGUUUGGUCCCAGCCUUCCUGUUAACUUUCAAUAGACUUAUACAUGCAAGCAUCCACGCCCCGGUGAGUAACGCCCUUCGAAUCACACAGGACUAAAAGGAGCAGGUAUCAAGCACACACUCUUGUAGCUCACAACGCCUUGCUUAACCACACCCCCACGGGAGACAGCAGUAACAAAAAUUAAGCCAUAAACGAAAGUUUGACUAAGCCAUAUUGACUAGGGUUGGUAAAUCUCGUGCCAGCCACCGCGGUCAUACGAUUGACCCAAGCUAACCGGAGUACGGCGUAACGCGUGUUAAAGCAUCAUACUAAAUAGAGUUAAAUUUUAAUUAAACUGUAAAAAGCCAUAAUUAUAACAAAAAUAAAUGACGAAAGUAACCCUACAAUAGCUGAUACACCAUAGCUAAGACCCAAACUGGGAUUAGAUACCCCACUAUGCUUAGCCCUAAACACAAAUAAUUAU
rnacentral:rRNA from 1 species